AAAACAUCAUAAAGCUGAAGUAUUAAUCCUAGCAUGACGAUGUUUAAGCUUAGUUUCGUUAUCACUAUUCUUAUCAUUGCAGUCACUAUUAAUGUACCGGGAUUCUCAAAGAAACAAGUCAUAGCUACACCAGAUGUUGAUCAUGUUCUUUUAGGAAUCUCGAAGAGAUUACUUCCACAACUGAAUACUUGUAUUAGAUCUUGUAUUUCGGACAGUGAUUGCAGUGAUUGUUGGAUUUGUUGUGCUUGUAGAUACUCGGCGCUAUAUGGUGGCCACGUGUGUGAGGUGCGGUAGUGAGGAAUGGCAAAAACUCAACUACAAAUUCCUAUUAUAUGCAUUAGAGUGUUGUUGUGAUUUUAGCGUUUUUCUUUGUCUUUUUCUCAUUUCUUCGUCUUUUGUGCUUUGUAAAAGUAAUAAACGAAGUCAUGAAUGACUUUCUAUUUCGAUACAAUAAUCGAUCAUAAAAUAAAAGAAGUCAUCAUAUGUUUAUAAAAUUUUAUCGCUUGUGUAA